GUACUCAUUUCAGCAGCACAUAUACUAAAAUUGAACGAUAAAGAGAUUAUCAUGGCCCUUGAGCUAGGAUGACACACAAAUUUGUGAAGUGUUCCAUAUUUUU
ensembl:snRNA U6 U6 spliceosomal RNA